rnacentral:rRNA from 1 species
GACGAACGCUGGCGGCGUGCUUAACACAUGCAAGUCGAACGGUGAAGGGACUGGUUUUGCUGGUCCUGGAUGAGUGGCGAACGGGUGAGUAACACGUGAGUAACCUGCCCCCUUCUUCUGGAUAACCGCAUGAAAGUGUGGCUAAUACGGGAUAUUCUGGGUCUGUCGCAUGGUGGGCCUGGGAAAGAUUGCGCCUUUUUUGGUGUUUUUGGUGGGGGAUGGGCUCGCGGCCUAUCAGCUUGUUGGUGGGGUGAUGGCCUACCAAGGCGGUGACGGGUAGCCGGCCUGAGAGGGUGGACGGUCACACUGGGACUGAGACACGGCCCAGACUCCUACGGGAGGCAGCAGUGGGGAAUAGUGCACAAUGGGCGCAAGCCUGAUGCAGCGACGCCGCGUGAGGGAUGGAGGCCUUCGGGUUGUGAACCUCUUUCGCCAGUGAAGCAGGCCUGCCUCUUUUUGUGGGUGGGUUGACGGUAGCUGGAUAAGAAGCGCCGGCUAACUACGUA